rnacentral:rRNA from 1 species
UACGGAGGAUGCGAGCGUUAUCCGGAUUUAUUGGGUUUAAAGGGUGCGUAGGCGGCCUGCCAAGUCAGCGGUAAAAUUGCGGGGCUCAACCCCGUACAGCCGUUGAAACUGCCGGGCCCGAGUGGGCGAGAAGUAUGCGGAAUGCGUGGUGUAGCGGUGAAAUGCAUAGAUAUCACGCAGAACCCCGAUUGCGAAGGCAGCAUACCGGCGCCCGACUGACGCUGAGGCACGAAAGUGCGGGGAUCAAACAGG